GGAGAGGUCGCAUAGUGGCCUAGUGCACCGCCUUGGAAAGGCGGCAUACCGCAAGGUAUCGGGAGUUCAAAUCUCCCCCUCUCCGCCA
rnacentral:tRNA from 1 species